AGUUACCAUCAUUAAGUUGGGGACUCUAGCGAGACUGCCAGUGAUAAACUGGAGAAGGUGGGGAUGACGUCAAAUCAUCAUGCCCCUUAUGACCUGGGCUACAAACGUGAUACAAUGGCUGGAACAAAGGGAUGCGAAGCAGUGAUGUGGAGCGAAACCCAUAAAAACAGUCUCAGUUCGGAUUGAAGUCUGCAACUCGACUUCAUGAAGUCGGAAUCGCUAGUAAUCGCGGAUCAGAACGCCGCGGUGAAUACGUUCUCGGGGUUU
rnacentral:rRNA from 1 species